GGUUAAGCGACUAAGCGUACACGGUGGAUGCCCUGGCAGUCAGAGGCGAUGAAGGACGUGCUAAUCUGCGAUAAGCGCCGGUAAGGUGAUAUGAACCGUUAUAACCGGCGAUUUCCGAAUGGGGAAACCCAGUGUGUUUCGACACACUAUCAUUACGUGAAUACAUAGCGUAAUGAAGCGAACCGGGGGAACUGAAACAUCUAAGUACCCCGAGGAAAAGAAAUCAACCGAGAUUCCCCCAGUAGCGGCGAGCGAACGGGGAGGAGCCCAGAGCCUGAAUCAGCAUGUGUGUUAGUGGAAGCGUCUGGAAAGGCGCGCGAUACAGGGUGACAGCCCCGUACACAAAAGCGCAUGUGCUGUGAGCUCGAUGAGUAGGGCGGGACACGUGGUAUCCUGUCUGAAUAUGGGGGGACCAUCCUCCAAGGCUAAAUACUCCUGACUGACCGAUAGUGAACCAGUACCGUGAGGGAAAGGCGAAAAGAACCCCGGCGAGGGGAGUGAAAAAGAACCUGAAACCGUGUACGUACAAGCAGUGGGAGCACAGGUUUACCUGUGUGACUGCGUACCUUUUGUAUAAUGGGUCAGCGACUUAUAUUCUGUAGCAAGGUUAACCGAAUAGGGGAGCCGUAGGGAAACCGAGUCUUAACCGGGCGUUAAGUUGCAGGGUAUAGACCCGAAACCCGGUGAUCUAGCCAUGGGCAGGUUGAAGGUUGGGUAACACUAACUGGAGGACCGAACCGACUAAUGUUGAAAAAUUAGCGGAUGACCUGUGGCUGGGGGUGAAAGGCCAAUCAAACCGGGAGAUAGCUGGUUCUCCCCGAAAGCUAUUUAGGUAGCGCCUCGUGAAUUCAUCUCCGGGGGUAGAGCACUGUUUCGGCUAGGGGGCCAUCCCGGCUUACCAACCCGAUGCAAACUGCGAAUACCGGAGAAUGUUAUCACGGGAGACACACGGCGGGUGCUAACGUCCGUCGUGAAGAGGGAAACAACCCAGACCGCCAGCUAAGGUCCCAAAGUCAUGGUUAAGUGGGAAACGAUGUGGGAAGGCCCAGACAGCCAGGAUGUUGGCUUAGAAGCAGCCAUCAUUUAAAGAAAGCGUAAUAGCUCACUGGUCGAGUCGGCCUGCGCGGAAGAUGUAACGGGGCUAAACCAUGCACCGAAGCUGCGGCAGCGAACGUAUCACUUAAAGCGAUUCAGCGGGUUACGAUUGACGGAGCGAAGCGACGUCAAAGCGUAUACAAAGUCGAGUCGGUUUAAGGAUACGUUCGUUGGGUAGGGGAGCGUUCUGUAAGCCUGUGAAGGUGUGUCGUGAGGCAUGCUGGAGGUAUCAGAAGUGCGAAUGCUGACAUAAGUAACGAUAAAGCGGGUGAAAAGCCCGCUCGCCGGAAGACCAAGGGUUCCUGUCCAACGUUAAUCGGGGCAGGGUGAGUCGACCCCUAAGGCGAGGCCGAAAGGCGUAGUCGAUGGGAAACGGGUUAAUAUUCCCGUACUUGGUGUUACUGCGAAGGGGGGACGGAGAAGGCUAUGUUGGCCGGGCGACGGUUGUCCCGGUUUAAGCGUGUAGGUGUGUGUUCCAGGUAAAUCCGGUUCACUUUAACACUGAGGCGUGACGACGAGGCACUACGGUGCUGAAGCAACAAAUGCCCUGCUUCCAGGAAAAGCCUCUAAGCAUCAGGUAACAUCAAAUCGUACCCCAAACCGACACAGGUGGUCAGGUAGAGAAUACCAAGGCGCUUGAGAGAACUCGGGUGAAGGAACUAGGCAAAAUGGUGCCGUAACUUCGGGAGAAGGCACGCUGACACGUAGGUGAAGUGAUUUACUCAUGGAGCUGAAGUCAGUCGAAGAUACCAGCUGGCUGCAACUGUUUAUUAAAAACACAGCACUGUGCAAACACGAAAGUGGACGUAUACGGUGUGACGCCUGCCCGGUGCCGGAAGGUUAAUUGAUGGGGUCAGCGCAAGCGAAGCUCCUGAUCGAAGCCCCGGUAAACGGCGGCCGUAACUAUAACGGUCCUAAGGUAGCGAAAUUCCUUGUCGGGUAAGUUCCGACCUGCACGAAUGGCGUAAUGAUGGCCAGGCUGUCUCCACCCGAGACUCAGUGAAAUUGAACUCGCUGUGAAGAUGCAGUGUACCCGCGGCAAGACGGAAAGACCCCGUGAACCUUUACUAUAGCUUGACACUGAACAUUGAGCCUUGAUGUGUAGGAUAGGUGGGAGGCUUUGAAGUGUGGACGCCAGUCUGCAUGGAGCCGACCUUGAAAUACCACCCUUUAAUGUUUGAUGUUCUAACGUGGACCCGUAAUCCGGGUUGCGGACAGUGUCUGGUGGGUAGUUUGACUGGGGCGGUCUCCUCCUAAAGAGUAACGGAGGAGCACGAAGGUUGGCUAAUCCUGGUCGGACAUCAGGAGGUUAGUGCAAUGGCAUAAGCCAGCUUGACUGCGAGCGUGACGGCGCGAGCAGGUGCGAAAGCAGGUCAUAGUGAUCCGGUGGUUCUGAAUGGAAGGGCCAUCGCUCAACGGAUAAAAGGUACUCCGGGGAUAACAGGCUGAUACCGCCCAAGAGUUCAUAUCGACGGCGGUGUUUGGCACCUCGAUGUCGGCUCAUCACAUCCUGGGGCUGAAGUAGGUCCCAAGGGUAUGGCUGUUCGCCAUUUAAAGUGGUACGCGAGCUGGGUUUAGAACGUCGUGAGACAGUUCGGUCCCUAUCUGCCGUGGGCGCUGGAGAACUGAGGGGGGCUGCUCCUAGUACGAGAGGACCGGAGUGGACGCAUCACUGGUGUUCGGGUUGUCAUGCCAAUGGCACUGCCCGGUAGCUAAAUGCGGAAGAGAUAAGUGCUGAAAGCAUCUAAGCACGAAACUUGCCCCGAGAUGAGUUCUCCCUGAGACUUAGAGUCUCCUGAAGGAACGUUGAAGACGACGACGUUGAUAGGCCGGGUGUGUAAGCGCAGCGAUGCGUUGAGCUAACCGGUACUAAUGAACCGUGAGGCUUAACCUU
rnacentral:rRNA from 1 species